GGGCCCGCACAAGCGGUGGAGCAUGUGGUUUAAUUCGAUGCAACGCGAAGAACCUUACCAGGGUUUGACAUAGUACGAAGUUUUUGAAAAAAACCACCUUCGGGAACGUACAUACAGGUGGUGCAUGGCUGUCGUCAGCUCGUGUCGUGAGAUGUUGGGUUAAGUCCCGCAACGAGCGUAACCCUUGUUUUUAGUUGCCUUUCGAGGAUAUUUAGAAAGACUGCCGAUUAUAAAUCGGAGGAAGGUAAGGACGACGUCAAGUCAUCAUGCCCCUUACACUCUGGGCUACACACGUGCUACAUUGGGUAGAACGUAGGGUUGGUAACUGGGACUAAGUCG
rnacentral:rRNA from 1 species